UUGCAGAAUGGUGACCAAACAAAGGU
rnacentral:piRNA from 1 species